CCAUUCACCACCUACCUGCUGUCCAGUUGAGUCAGUGUGGGCAACACCACAUGCCUCCGUUUGUUGUUGACGGACACAUGCCCGCUGUGUAUUGGCUGGCACAUUGACCAACAAUGUACGGACAGCGCCCUGUGGGCACAUGAGUGUUGGGGUGUAACCGAUGUUGGUGGCCCUAUGGGUGAGCCGACGAUUGCUGCUGUCGUCGGGUCGCUGCGCCAACGGAGGAAGCACGCCCACAGGGCACCCUAACGGCUGUGCUGGCGUCUGUGCGUCGUUGAGCGGUUGUUGCGCCUUGCGCAGAUAUGCUAACAUGGAGUGUAGCUGCUACUCCAUGUUGUACGUGCCGUACCUUGCGGCAUGUCUGCGCUUGUGUGCUACGUCCGUGGCCGUGAUGAGACGACGUGUUAGGACCCGUGCCUGGCAUUGGCACGUGGUUUAAGACUUGAUGAGUGCCCGCAGGCACCGCCAGCUUUUUCCCAUUUUUAUUUAUUUUUUAUGCAAUUCGAUUGCUAAAAUAUUCUAGUCUUAUCGGUGGAUCACUCGGCUCGUGGAUCGAUGAAGAACGCAGCCAACUGCGAUAAUUAGUGUGAACUGCAGAAACCUUGAACACAGAACUUUCGAAUGCACAUUGCGCCAUUGGAGUGACAUCCAUUGGCACGCCUGGUUCAGGGUCGUAACCAAAAAAUGCACUGCAUGUGCGUGUUUUAUUUGCAAAGAUCACGCUUCGGCGUGUUCUUGCAUACUAUUGAAUGCUACGCUGUGUAGCGUUGGACGUGCUGGCGCGAAAAUGUGUUGUCAUUCGCGCUUUACAGACCGUAAUUUAGGCACGCCCUUCGUUCACAUGCGAUAGCUGAAUGCCUCGCCAAUAGGCAUUUGCAAUUGAACAUUUCGACCUGAACUCAGACGUGAACACC
rnacentral:rRNA from 1 species